CACUAAUUGACCAUUAAAAUGUUCAUUUACCAUUACCUAAACAAGGUCUAAGUUUCUCUCCAAAACCCUAACCCUAAUUGACCAAGCCUCCAAUUCAUGCAUCCCACUCCUAAUUUGCUAUACUAAUCAUAUAAUUUAUAAGAGGGGCAGCAAUAUGUCACUUUAAACCAAAGAUUUCUCCUAACCCAAACUCAUGUCAAGGCUGCCAAAACUUCAUGGAAUAUAACCAUACUUCAUUAAUUUAAUUUUUGUCAAAUUUUUUACUUAACUUAGCUCAAAUUCAUGAUUAGAAAGAUGUAAAAGCAAAGGUUAUGGCACUAACCUCUUUGGUGAUUUUCUAAGCU
rnacentral:misc_RNA from 1 species